rnacentral:tRNA from 2 species
GCCGGUGUAGCUCAGUUGGCAGAGCAGCCGUCUUGUAAACGGCAGGUCAGCGGUUCGAUCCCGCUCACCGGCUCCA